AGUGAACGCUGGCGGUAGGCCUAACACAUGCAAGUCGAACGGCAGCACAGUAAGAGCUUGCUCUUACGGGUGGCGAGUGGCGGACGGGUGAGGCAUACAUCGGAAUCUACUUUUUCGUGGGGGAUAACGUAGGGAAACUUACGCUAAUACCUCAUACGACCUACGGGUGAAAGCAGUGGAUCUUCGGACCUUGCGCGAUUGAAUGAGCCGAUGUCGGAUUAGCUAGUAGGCGGGGUAAAGGCCCACCAAGGCGACGAUCCGUAGCUGGUCUGAGAGGAUGAUCAGCCACACUGGAACUGAGACACGGUCCAGACUCCUACGGGAGGCAGCAGUGGGGAAUAUUGGACAAUGGGCGCAAGCCUGAUCCAGCCAUACCGCGUGGGUGAAGAAGGCCUUCGGGUUGUAAAGCCCUUUUGUUGGGAAAGAAAAGCAGCAGGUUAAUACCCCGCUGUUCUGACGGUACCCAAAGAAUAAGCACCGGCUAACUUCGUG
rnacentral:rRNA from 1 species